rnacentral:rRNA from 1 species
GUUAUUAAGGGCGCAUGGUGGAUGCCUUGGCAUGCUGAGCCGAUGAAGGACGUGAAAGGCUGCGUUAAGCCUCGGGGAGUUGUCAAUUGAGCGUUGAUCCGAGGAUGUCCGAAUGGGGAAACCUGGCCCUGGUUAUGUGGGGUUACCCUUCAGUGAAUUCAUAGCUGUUGUGGGGGUUUACGCGGGGAAGUGAAACAUCUCAGUACCCGUAGGAGGAGAAAAUAAUAAUGAUUCUGCUAGUAGUGGCGAACGAACGUGGAUGAGGCUAAACCGUGUGCGUGUGAUACCUGGCAGGGGUUGCGUGUGCGGUGUUGUGGGGUGUGGCUGGUCGUGUUCUGCCAGAUACGUCCACAUGGUGUGUGUGUAAGCGGAAGUGGUCUGGGAUGGCCUACCGGAGUAGGUGAGAGUCCUGUACGCGAAUG